GGAUGCUAAUACCGCAUACGUCCUACGGGAGAAAGCAGGGGAUCUUCGGACCUUGCGCUAAUAGAUGGGCCUAAGUCGGAUUAGCUAGUUGGUGGGGUAAAGGCCUACCAAGGCGACGAUCUGUAGCGGGUCUGAGAGGAUGAUCCGCCACACUGGGACUGAGACACGGCCCAGACUCCUACGGGAGGCAGCAGUGGGGAAUAUUGGACAAUGGGGGGAACCCUGAUCCAGCCAUGCCGCGUGUGUGAAGAAGGCCUUAUGGUUGUAAAGCACUUUAAGCGAGGAGGAGGCUACUGAGACUAAUACUCUUGGAUAGUGGACGUUACUCGCAGAAUAAGCACCGGCUAACUCUGUGCCAGCAGCCGCGGUAAUACAGAGGGUGCGAGCGUUAAUCGGAUUUACUGGGCGUAAAGCGUGCGUAGGCGGCUUUUUAAGUCGGAUGUGAAAUCCCCGAGCUUAACUUGGGAAUUGCAUUCGAUACUGGGAAGCUAGAGUAUGGGGGAGGAUGGUAGAAUUCCAGGUGUAGCGGUGAAAUGCGUAGAGAUCUGGGG
rnacentral:rRNA from 1 species